GCAUUGGUGGUUCAGUGGUAGAAUUCUUGCCUGCCACGCGGGAGAGACCCGGGUCCGAUUCCCGGCCAAUGCA